rnacentral:rRNA from 1 species
UACGUAGGGACCAAGCGUUGUUCGGAUUUACUGGGCGUAAAGGGCGCGUAGGCGGCAAUUCAAGUCAUCUGUGAAAUCUCCGGGCUUAACUCGGAACGGUCAGAUGAUACUGUUUUGCUAGAGUGCGGAAGGGGCAAUCGGAAUUCUCGGUGUAGCGGUGAAAUGCGUAGAUAUGCGGAGGAACACCGAUGGCGAAGGCAAUCCCCUGGACCUGUACUGACGCUCAUGCACGAAAGCGUGGGGAGCAACAGG